rnacentral:rRNA from 1 species
CGGAGGGUGCGAGCGUUGUCCGGAAUCACUGGGCGUAAAGGGCGCGUAGGUGGCUUAGUAAGCGUGUGGUGAAAGCCCGGGGCUUAACCCCGGGUCUGCCGUGCGAACUGCUAUGGCUAGAGUACUGUAGAGGCAGGUUGAAUUCCGGGUGUAGCGGUGGAAUGCGUAGAGAUCCGGAAGAAUACCGGUGGCGAAGGCGGCCUGCUGGGCAGUUACUGACACUGAGGCGCGACAGCGUGGGGAGCAAACAGGAUUAGAUACCCUGGUAGUCCACGCCGUAAACGAUGGGCACUAGAUGCUUGGGGGAGCGACCCUCUGAGUGUCGUCGCUAACGCAGUAAGUGCCCCGCCUGGGGAGUACGGCCGCAAGGCUG